rnacentral:rRNA from 1 species
GAUGAACGCUGGCGGCGUGCCUAAUACAUGCAAGUAGAACGCUGAAGGAGGAGCUUGCUCUUCUGGAUGAGUUGCGAACGGGUGAGUAACGCGUAGGUAACCUGCCUGGUAGCGGGGGAUAACUAUUGGAAACGAUAGCUAAUACCGCAUGACAACAGUUAUUGCAUGAUAACUGUUUAAAAGGGGCAACUGCUCCACUACCAGAUGGACCUGCGUUGUAUUAGCUAGUUGGUGAGGUAACGGCUCACCAAGGCGACGAUACAUAGCCGACCUGAGAGGGUGAUCGGCCACACUGGGACUGAGACACGGCCCGGACUCCUACGGGAGGCAGCAGUAGGGAAUCUUCGGCAAUGGACGGAAGUCUGACCGAGCAACGCCGCGUGAGUGAAGAAGGUUUUCGGAUCGUAAAGCUCUGUUGUAAGAGAAGAACGAGUGUGAGAGUGGAAAGUUCACACUGUGACGGUAGCUUACCAGAAAGGGACGGCUAACUACGUG